GACGAACGCUGGCGGCGUGCUUAACACAUGCAGGUCGAGCGGUAAGGCCCUUUCGGGGGUACACGAGCGGCGAACGGGUGAGUAACACGUGGGUGACCUGCCCUCAGCUCUGGGAUAAGCCCGGGAAACUGGGUCUAAUACCGGAUAUGACUUCAUGACGCAUGUUGUGGAGUGGAAAGCCUUGUGCGGCUGAGGAUGGGCCCGCGGCCUAUCAGCUUGUUGGUGGGGUGAUGGCCUACCAAGGCGACGACGGGUAGCCGGCCUGAGAGGGCGACCGGCCACACUGGGACCGAGAUACGGCCCAGACUCCUACGGGAGGCAGCAGUGGGGAAUCUUGCGCAAUGGGCGAAAGCCUGACGCAGCGACGCCGCGUGAGGGAUGACGGCCU
rnacentral:rRNA from 1 species